AAAAANUGUAACAAGGUCUCCGUUGGUGAACCAGCGGAGGGAUCAUUAAAGAGUUGCAAAACUCCAACCCCUGUGAACCUUACCUUUACUGUUGCUUCGGCGGUUGGCGCCGGCGCCCAGAUGGGCCUGGAGGUCGCCGCCGGAGGUUCGAAACCCUGAAUUUUAGUGUAUCUCUGAGAAAGAAAACAAAAUAAAUUAAAACUUUCAACAACGGAUCUCUUGGUUCUGGCAUCGAUGAAGAACGCAGCGAAAUGCGAUAAGUAAUGUGAAUUGCAGAAUUCAGUGAAUCAUCGAAUCUUUGAACGCACAUUGCGCCCGCCGGUACUCCGGCGGGCAUGCCUGUCCGAGCGUCAUUUCACCACUCAAGCACAGCUUGGUGUUGGGGCACCCGGCCGCCUGGCGGUCGGGGCCCCCAAGUACAUCGGCGGUCCCGCUGGGGGCUCCGAGCGCAGUAGCACGCGGUAAAACGCGCCCUCGCUCGGCGGCCUCUUCGGGCUUCCAGCCGCUAAACCCGUCUACCGACGCCCUUCGAGUUGACCUCGGAUCAGGUAGGAAUACCCGCUGAACUUAAGCAUA
rnacentral:rRNA from 1 species